rnacentral:rRNA from 1 species
AGGGUUUGAUUCUGGCUCAGGAUGAACGCUAGCGGGAGGCUUAAUACAUGCAAGUCGAACGGUAACAAUUCGGUUGACGAGUGGCGCACGGGUGAGUAACGCGUACGCAACCUACCUUCAAGAGCGGGAUAGCCCCGGGAAACUGGGAUUAAUACCGCAUGGUAUCUGUAAGUCGCAUGGCUAACAGAUUAAAGUGUUAGCGGUGAGAGAUGGAUGUGCGUACCAUUAGAUAGUUGGUGAGGUAACGGCUCACCAAGUCAACGAUGGUUAGGGGGCGUGAGAGCGUGGUCCCCCACACGGGUACUGAGACACGGACCCGACUCCUACGGGAGGCAGCAGUAAGGAAUAUUGGACAAUGGACGAAAGUCUGAUCCAGCCAUCCCGCGUGCAGGAUGACGGCCCUAUGGGUUGUAAACUGCUUUUAUGAGAGAAGAAACGCCUUGAUUUAUCAGGGUCUGACGGUAUCUCAUGAAUAAGCACCGGCUAACUCCGUGCCAGCAGCCGCGGUAAUACGGAGGGUGCAAGCGUUAUCCGGAAUCACUGGGUUUAAAGGGUGCGUAGGCGGCAUAAUAAGUCAGAGGUGAAAGACUAUAGCUCAACUAUAGAAAUGCCUUUGAAACUGUUGUGCUUGAAAUAAAUCGAGGCUGGCGGAAUGUGGCAUGUAGCGGUGAAAUGCAUAGAUAUGCCAUAGAACACCAAUUGCGAAGGCAGCUGACUAGAUUUUAUUUGACGCUGAGGCACGAAAGCGUGGGGAGCGAACAGGAUUAGAUACCCUGGUAGUCCACGCCCUAAACGAUGCAUACUCGACGUGUACGUGAGCAUCCAAGGGAAACCGUUAAGUUAGCGACCUGGGGAGUACGUUCGCAAGAAUGAAACUCAAAGGAAAUGACGGGGGUCCGCACAAGUGGUGGAGCAUGUGGUUUAAUUCGAUGAUACGCGAGGAUCCUUACCUAGGCUCUAAAUGUUAGUGACCGGUACUGAAAGGUACUUUUCCUUCGGGACACGAAACAAGGUGCUGCAUGGUUGUCGUCAGCUCGUGCCGUGAGGUGUUGGGUUAAGUCCCGCAACGAGCGCAACCCUUAUCACUAGUUGCCAGCAUUUAAGGUGGGGACUCUAGUGAGGACUGCCGGCGUAAGCCGUGAGGAAGGUGGGGACGACGUCAAAUCAUCAUGGCCUUUAUGCCUAGGGCUACACACGUGCUACAAUGGCGAGUACAGAGGGUAGCGAAGCCGCAAGGUGGAGCCAAUCUCAUAAAACUCGUCCCAGUUCGGAUUGAAGUCUGGAACUCGACUUCAUGAAGGUGGAAUCGCUAGUAAUCGCGCAUCAGCCAUGGCGCGGUGAAUACGUUCCCGGACCUUGUACACACCGCCCGUCAAACCAUGGGAGUUGGGGGUGCCUGAAGAUGGUGGCCAUAUAGGAGCUAUCUAGGGUAAAACUGAUGACUGGGGUUAAGUCGUAACAAGGUAGCC